UUGAACGCUGGCGGCAUGCCUUACACAUGCAAGUCGAACGGCAGCAUGAUCUAGCUUGCUAGAUUGAUGGCGAGUGGCGAACGGGUGAGUAAUACAUCGGAACGUGCCCUGUAGUGGGGGAUAACUAGUCGAAAGAUUAGCUAAUACCGCAUACGACCUGAGGGUGAAAGUGGGGGACCGCAAGGCCUCAUGCUAUAGGAGCGGCCGAUGUCUGAUUAGCUAGUUGGUGGGGUAAAGGCCCACCAAGGCGACGAUCAGUAGCUGGUCUGAGAGGACGAUCAGCCACACUGGGACUGAGACACGGCCCAGACUCCUACGGGAGGCAGCAGUGGGGAAUUUUGGACAAUGGGGGCAACCCUGAUCCAGCAAUGCCGCGUGUGUGAAGAAGGCCUUCGGGUUGUAAAGCACUUUUGUCCGGAAAGAAAUCGCACUUACUAAUAUUAGGUGUGGAUGACGGUACCGGAAGAAUAAGGACCGGCUAACUACGUG
rnacentral:rRNA from 1 species